ensembl:miRNA
GACUUGGUCAAAGCUCCUCAGCAGAUUGAAGUGACUCUGAGGCGUUUAGAACAAGUUCA